rnacentral:rRNA from 1 species
UCGAUUCCCUUAGUAGCGGCGAGCGAAACGGGAAGAGCCCAAACCAACAAGCUUGCUUGUUGGGGUUGUAGGACACUCUAUACGGAGUUACAAAGGACGACAUUAGACGAAUCAUCUGGAAAGAUGAAUCAAAGAAGGUAAUAAUCCUGUAGUCGAAAAUGUUGUCUCUCUUGAGUGGAUCCUGAGUACGACGGAGCACGUGAAAUUCCGUCGGAAUCUGGGAGGACCAUCUCCUAAGGCUAAAUACUCUCUAGUGACCGAUAGUGAACCAGUACCGUGAGGGAAAGGUGAAAAGCACCCCGGAAGGGGAGUGAAAUAGAACCUGAAACCGUGUGCUUACAAGUAGUCAGAGCCCGUUAAUGGGUGAUGGCGUGCCUUUUGUAGAAUGAACCGGCGAGUUACGAUUUGAUGCAAGGUUAAGCAGUAAAUGUGGAGCCGUAGCGAAAGCGAGUCUGAAUAGGGCGUUUAGUAUUUGGUCGUAGACCCGAAACCAGGUGAUCUACCCUUGGUCAGGUUGAAGUUCAGGUAACACUGAAUGGAGGACCGAACCGACUUACGUUGAAAAGUGAGCGGAUGAACUGAGGGUAGCGGAGAAAUUCCAAUCGAACCUGGAGAUAGCUGGUUCUCUCCGAAAUAGCUUUAGGGCUAGCCUCAAGUGAUGAUUAUUGGAGGUAGAGCACUGUUUGGACGAGGGGCCCCUCUCGGGUUACCGAAUUCAGACAAACUCCGAAUGCCAAUUAAUUUAACUUGGGAGUCAGAACAUGGGUGAUAAGGUCCGUGUUCGAAAGGGAAACAGCCCAGACCACCAGCUAAGGUCCCAAAAUAUAUGUUAAGUGGAAAAGGAUGUGGCGUUGCCCAGACAACUAGGAUGUUGGCUUAGAAGCAGCCAUCAUUUAAAGAGUGCGUAAUAGCUCACUAGUCGAGUGACACUGCGCCGAAAAUGUACCGGGGCUAAACAUAUUACCGAAGCUGUGGAUUGUCCUUUGGACAAUGGUAGGAGAGCGUUCUAAGGGCGUUGAAGCAUGAUCGUAAGGACAUGUGGAGCGCUUAGAAGUGAGAAUGCCGGUGUGAGUAGCGAAAGACGGGUGAGAAUCCCGUCCACCGAUUGACUAAGGUUUCCAGAGGAAGGCUCGUCCGCUCUGGGUUAGUCGGGUCCUAAGCUGAGGCCGACAGGCGUAGGCGAUGGAUAACAGGUUGAUAUUCCUGUACCACCUAUAAUCGUUUUAAUCGAUGGGGGGACGCAGUAGGAUAGGCGAAGCGUGCGAUUGGAUUGCACGUCUAAGCAGUAAGGCUGAGUAUUAGGCAAAUCCGGUACUCGUUAAGGCUGAGCUGUGAUGGGGAGAAGACAUUGUGUCUUCGAGUCGUUGAUUUCACACUGCCGAGAAAAGCCUCUAGAUAGAAAAUAGGUGCCCGUACCGCAAACCGACACAGGUAGUCAAGAUGAGAAUUCUAAGGUGAGCGAGCGAACUCUCGU